CAAGUACUCCCUCUGUCCGGAAUUACUUGUCAUCAAAAUGGAUGUGUCUACAACUAAAAUACAUCUAGAUACAUCCAUUUCAAUGACAAGUAUUUUCGGAUGGAGGGAGUACAAG
rnacentral:pre_miRNA from 1 species